rnacentral:rRNA from 1 species
AACGAACGCUGGCGGCAGGCUUAACACAUGCAAGUCGAGCGCCCCGCAAGGGGAGCGGCGGACGGGUGAGUAACGCGUGGGAAUCUACCCAUCCCUACGGAACAACUCCGGGAAACUGGAGCUAAUACCGUAUACGCCCUUCGGGGGAAAGAUUUAUCGGGGAUGGAUGAGCCCGCGUUGGAUUAGCUAGUUGGUGGGGUAAUGGCCUACCAAGGCGACGAUCCAUAGCUGGUAUGAGAGGAUGAUCAGCCACACUGGGACUGAGACACGGCCCAGACUCCUACGGGAGGCAGCAGUGGGGAAUAUUGGACAAUGGGCGAAAGCCUGAUCCAGCCAUGCCGCGUGAGUGAUGAAGGCCCUAGGGUUGUAAAACUCUUUCACCGGUGAAGAUAAUGACGGUAACCGGAGAAGAAGCCCCGGCUAACUUCGUGCCAGCAGCCGCAGUAACAC